GGGGGGGCGGGGAGUGGUGGUCGGAAUAUUCAUCCCCACUUCGCCGUCGCCGCGCUGCCCUCUAGUGCGGGUGGUGAGCGCUGAGCCAGCGCGGGAGGCGCCCCGGCGGCAGCGGUACGGGGAGGGCCGCGCCGGCUCCUUCUGCAGGUCUCCGUCAGCUCCCCUCGCCGUCACUGGGGCGCCGUGCUGCUCCAGGCCGGGGCGGAAGCUGCGGCCUUCGCGGGCUGCCGGAUCCGCGUCCCGCCUCAGCGCCCGGAGGACAUGCGGGAGAGAGAAUGAGCCAGAGGGACACGCUGGUGCAUCUGUUUGCCGGAGGAUGUGGUGGUACAGUGGGAGCUAUUCUGACAUGUCCACUGGAAGUUGUGAAAACACGGCUGCAGUCGUCUUCUGUGACACUUUAUAUCUCUGAAGUUCAGCUGAGCACCAUGGCCGGAGCCAGUGUCAAUCGAGUAGUGUCUCCUGGACCUCUCCAUUGUCUAAAGGUGAUCUUGGAAAAAGAAGGGCCUCGUUCCCUAUUUAGAGGAUUAGGCCCCAAUUUGGUGGGGGUGGCCCCUUCCAGAGCCAUAUACUUUGCUGCUUAUUCAAACUGCAAGGAAAAGUUGAAUGGUUUAUUUGAUCCUGAUUCUACCCAGGUACACAUGAUUUCAGCUGCAAUGGCAGGUCACUUCCUGUAGAAAUAUGGACUAACUUAAACCUCGUUUUACUGCAAUCACAGCGACCAACCCCAUUUGGCUUAUAAAGACUCGAUUACAGCUCGAUGCAAGGAACCGUGGGGAAAAGCGAAUGGGUGCUUUCGAGUGUGUCCGUAAAGUGUAUCAGACAGAUGGACUUAGAGGAUUUUAUAGGGGCAUGUCUGCUUCAUAUGCUGGCAUAUCAGAGACUGUCAUCCAUUUUGUUAUAUAUGAAAGUAUUAAGCAAAAACUACUAGAAUAUAAGAUUGCUUCUACAAUGGAAAACGAAGAAGAGUCUGUAAAAGAAGCGUCCGAUUUUGUGGGAAUGAUGCUAGCUGCCGCCACCUCAAAAACGUGUGCCACAAGUAUAGCGUAUCCACACGAAGUUGUAAGAACAAGACUGCGUGAAGAGGGAACAAAAUAUAGAUCCUUUUUUCAGACACUGUCUUUGCUUGUUCAAGAAGAAGGCUAUGGCUCUCUUUACCGUGGUCUGACAACGCAUCUGGUGAGACAGAUUCCAAACACAGCCAUUAUGAUGGCCACCUAUGAGCUGGUGGUCUACCUGCUCAAUGGAUAGCACCGCCAGACCGCUAUGCUGUAGAGAGGGAAGACCAAAAGAGAAAUUGGACCAUGGAGCACCAGAGCCAGCAUGGCGGACAGAAGGGAAAUAGUGUGGGAACAUGAAACUGUGCCUACGUGGAAGUUUGGCUGUAGGAAUUAAAGUAAUUGUAACCACAUUACUUAGUCUUUUUAGUAAUGUGGAAAAAAAAACCAUGGCUGCCUCCAAGAAAAAGCCUUUAGAAGCACCCCUUCCUCAAAAUUGCCAUUUUCUCUGUCACGUCUACAGGAUACCGUUGGCGUUUUGUUGAUUUAUGGCAACCAGAGUAAGUGUUUAUUCCAUGAGCACUUUUCCAGUCUUCUAGACAAAGCCAUCCAUAAUAUAUACUAGAACUAUCCAAAGAAAGUUGUAACAGUCAUAAAUUUCUAACAUCCGGCUUCUGUAUAGUUCCUAUGAAAUUGGAAAGUAACAAUACUAGUAUUUACAUUUCCUUGAGAGGACUUGGCACUGUAUUUUAAAGGUAAUUGUUUGGUAUUGGUAGUCACUGUUUUUGACAGAUGAAGUAAUAUCUAAAUAUUGUGCUUACUUUUAGUUUUAAAAUGUGUUGAUUUCUACUGCUCACAGGUGUGUUACCUUUAGCCCAGUGUGAACACUAAAAUUGCUCAAUGUAUCAACUCAAAUGGUAAUAGUUUGCGACAAAAUAAGCCAGCAAAAUGUUGAUUGUUGGCCAUUUGGACAACUUGAGCAUGUUCUAUCUGUCUAACCUAACGAUACAUGAAUGAAGGCAAUGUCUCUUCAGUAACUUAACUGAUUAUGAACUUAAAUUGUCACCCAUCAUACCUAAGUAUCAUUUUCUUAAAGUGAAAAAAAAUGCACUGCUUCUGGAUCUUUCUCUAGUUUCACAUUAAGAAUUUGAACCUUUGGAUUAUUUCUGGAAGAUCUUCAUACAUUGCAUUAUUUAGUAGAGAAAAUGGUAAUUUUCAGCUUUGCCUUUAAAAGGCGUUUUUCUUUUUAAGGUAACAUUAUAAGAAUCCGGGGCAGCAUAAACAUUUAUAGAAGGGCCUCUGUUAUCUGAUUGAGUGGAUAGUGAUCCUAACUGACUUAUAGUUUUAUAAGUGAACAAACUACAUUGCAUAAGAAAUUUAUUCCAUCCUAAUUUCUUGAAUGGUAAAUCAUUUAAAAAAUGCAAGUUAAUUCAGAUGAAGUGUAUUAACAAGAGAUAGCUUUUACAUUUUGCUGUUGAGAUCAACUGCACCUUUUAAUACUGUAAGUGUAUUUAUUAUAUGUAUGGCCCUUGUGAAGAUACUUGCUGUAAGUCUCUAAUAUUAAAGACUUUUGCUUAUGGUUGUUGCUAUACUGGUGUAUGAAGCUUCUACCAUUAAACUCCAGUGUGGUACUCAUUUCGGUAUACAUGAACUGUACAUUGUGUGCAGUGGCUUUAUCUUAAGAAUGACUCUUUGUGAAUGCACUUUGUGGCCUUUUGGGAGGUUAGAGGGGUGUGAGUAGGAGAGGAUUCCCAUGUUGGAUUAUUUUUUUAAAACAUUGGUUAAUGUAUUAGGCAGGAACAGUAUUCAUAACAUUUUUUUUUCUGGGAUUUAGGUAUAUUGUAUGGGGGAUCUUUAAUAUAAUAAAUGUUUUAAGUAUUCUUAUGUGUACUGCAGUGCCCCUAACAUAAAAAACAUAGUGUCAUUGCAAGCUUUCUCUGCUGUCACCAGUGAAACACAGUGCCCUGUUAAAUUCCUCCACCUUCUUAAUUUCCUUGUAAUCAACAGUAACUGGAUGUUUUUGAGGUGCUUCGAUUGGAAUUAGUAUUCCAGUCUAUUUGAAGACCAAAGGCAAAUUCAGUUUCAUUACCUUUGGGAUUAUUCAUAUCUUUUAUGGUGAAUUUCAGCUUUGACAUUUAUUGUGAGAAACAUGCCAAAAAAAAGAAAAGAGUAAUAGGGUUUAUAACUUAAAUCUGUAGAGAAAGUGUCAACCUAUAGUGUUUUGAUUUUCAGGUGCCGCUUAUACUGCCUAAUACAGUGCCAUUUGCCUUGUGAAGAUCUGUAAACAUUGUUGUAUCGAAUGUACAAGAGACUCUAAUUUAGUGAUCUGGAUACCCACAAAUGGUUAAGAAUGAUAUGAAAACCAGCAACUAAGGAACAUCUUAUUUAGUUGUAGCAAAUUCAUAACAAGUGUCCUUCAAGGAUGAACUCAUAUUCUGUUCCUGUUUGUAUUUGUAUUGACCUUGACCUUUUAGUGCAUUGUAUUCAGCUUUUAAAAGUUGAGUAUAUUUCUGUGCUGGAAGAAAAGGAUCUUAAGAGUCUCAGGCUUUCUUUGUGCGACAGCUGGAAAGGAGCGAUGAUGUUUAGUUGUUUUAUCCCCCAAAAAAUACAAUCUGCUGUGGUUUAUGACAGAUAAUUUAACAAAAUACAUAUAUAAAAAUUGUAUAUAAAGUCUGUCUGAAACAUUUCUUGGGAGGGUUUUUUUUUUUUGGUGCAAACAUUUAAAAAGAAAACUUAAAGCAUUGAAAUUUUUUUUAUUCUGUGUUUUAUUUUCAUCUAUCAGAUAACUUUAUUACUGUAUAGAGGUAGUCAGCACUCUUCAAAUUGGUAUGUACUUUUAUUUGAGAAUCUUCUCAGAAAAUUGAAUUGCUCCUUUCAGUUUAAAGCGGUACAUACUGAAGAGCAUAUUCAUAGAGCACCAGAUAAAGAACUCUGGUACUUCUGGCUCACAGAAACAGUUUACUAGAGUUCAAAGUGCACAUCUGAGAAUCACCAACCUGUGAUUGUGGGGUACCACACAGUGCUUUUAAAUCCAGGGAAGAAACUGUGUCACCAAAGCUUGGUUUUCCUUAUGUGUGUUACUUUGCGGAACCAGUCUUAACUCGAUGAGACCCACAAGUAAUUGAUUUUUUUAAACUGACACCAAGAGAGAAUAUUAUUUACAUUGUUUAACUAUGUCUCUGUCUCCUAAAACCAAAUGCCCAUUAUGGAAUAGCAUGGUUAUAUUAGGACUAGCUGAGUUUGGGUUAUUAAGAAUAAUGAGUGUUUACUCUUUUACUGGAGUAUAAAUAUGUCAGCAUUUUUUAGAUUUGUUUCAGAUCACUAAAAAUAUUGAUUUGACCCUGAAAGAAUUAAGUGCUAGGAAUCAGUUUAUCCUUUAACCUUCCGGCAUUGUCUGUGCUGUCUUCUGUUUGCAUGCUCUUCUGCCUAGACUGUUAGUACUAUCAGGACCCUUUUGGGGCUGCCGGAUGUAAUACAGCCUUUUUCUCUAGGAUUGAUCAUGACUUCAACAUUCCUAAGAAUACAGAUAUUUCUAAAUGAUUUAAAUUGGAAGGGGAUUUUAAUUAAAAGUACUUAGUACAGUGUACAGACUUUCAGCUUACACAAAUCUCUUCUCCAUUGUGCCCUUAUAUUUCUCAAUCUAUACUCUGCUUUUUAUGCUACUCCUUUUAGAAACUGAAGAUUCCUGGUUUACUCAGUUUUUGUGUUAAUAAUCAUUUUGAAUGUGUACCCCUGCAUAUGUGAACAUUUAAAUUAUGACCUGUCAGUUGUAGUUAAAUAAUCAACUUCAAAGAGUUGAUAUUCUUUGACCAUUUAUGUGAGGUUUGCUAUUCUUGCAUUCCUGUUAUGUGGCUGUAAAUUAUGUGCAUUUACUCUGUAUUUAUGUUAACUAGCUGAAUUUUAUUUGAGUUGUUAAAAUUCAAAAAAUUAAAAUAUACUUAUGAAAA